GCUUCGCUGACGAGUGGCGGACGGGUGAGUAAUGUCUGGGAAACUGCCUGAUGGAGGGGGAUAACUACUGGAAACGGUGGCUAAUACCGCAUAACGUCGCAAGACCAAAGAGGGGGACCUUCGGGCCUCUUGCCAUCAGAUGUGCCCAGAUGGGAUUAGCUUGUUGGUGAGGUAACGGCUCACCAAGGCGACGAUCCCUAGCUGGUCUGAGAGGAUGACCAGCCACACUGGAACUGAGACACGGUCCAGACUCCUACGGGAGGCAGCAGUGGGGAAUAUUGCACAAUGGGCGCAAGCCUGAUGCAGCCAUGCCGCGUGUAUGAAGAAGGCCUUCGGGUUGUAAAGUACUUUCAGCGGGGAGGAAGGUGUUGUGGUUAAUAACCGCAGCAAUUGACGUUACCCGCAGAAGAAGCACCGGCUAACUCCGUGCCAGCAGCCGCGGUAAUACGGAGGGUGCAAGCGUUAAUCGGAAUUACUGGGCGUAAAGCGCACGCAGGCGGUCUGUCAAGUCGGAUGUGAAAUCCCCGGGCUCAACCUGGGAACUGCAUUCGAAACUGGCAGGCUUGAGUCUUGUAGAGGGGGGUAGAAUUCCAGGUGUAGCGGUGAAAUGCGUAGAGAUCUGGAGGAAUACCGGUGGCGAAGGCGGCCCCCUGGACAAAGACUGACGCUCAGGUGCGAAAGCGUGGGGAGCAAACAGGAUUAGAUACCCUGGUAGUCCACGCCGUAAACGAUGUCUACUUGGAGGUUGUGCCCUUGAGGCGUGGCUUCCGGAGCUAACGCGUUAAGUAGACCGCCUGGGGAGUACGGCCGCAAGGUUAAAACUCAAAUGAAUUGACGGGGGCCCGCACAAGCGGUGGAGCAUGUGGUUUAAUUCGAUGCAACGCGAAGAACCUUACCUGGUCUUGACAUCCACAGAAGAAUCCAGAGAUGGAUUUGUGCCUUCGGGAACUGUGAGACAGGUGCUGCAUGGCUGUCGUCAGCUCGUGUUGUGAAAUGUUGGGUUAAGUCCCGCAACGAGCGCAACCCUUAUCCUUUGUUGCCAGCGGUUAGGCCGGGAACUCAAAGGAGACUGCCAGUGAUAAACUGGAG
rnacentral:rRNA from 1 species